UACGAAGGGGGCUAGCGUUGCUCGGAAUUACUGGGCGUAAAGCGCACGUAGGCGGCUUUCUAAGUCGGGGGUGAAAUCCUGGAGCUCAACUCCAGAACUGCCUUCGAUACUGGAGAGCUUGAGUCCGGGAGAGGUGAGUGGAACUGCGAGUGUAGAGGUGAAAUUCGUAGAUAUUCGCAAGAACACCAGUGGCGAAGGCGGCUCACUGGCCCGGUACUGACGCUGAGGUGCGGAAAGCGUGGGGAGCAAACAGGGAUUAAGAAACCCGGGUAGUACCCAGGACCGAAGUC
rnacentral:rRNA from 1 species